rnacentral:rRNA from 1 species
UACGGAGGGUGCAAGCGUUAUCCGGAUUCACUGGGUUUAAAGGGUGCGUAGGUGGGCAGGAAAGUCAGUGGUGAAAUCUCCGGGCUUAACCCGGAAACUGCCGUUGAUACUAUUUGUCUUGAAUAUUGUGGAGGUAAGCGGAAUAUGUCAUGUAGCGGUGAAAUGCUUAGAUAUGACAUAGAGCACCAAUUGCGAAGGCAGCUUACUACACAAUGAUUGACGCUGAGGCACGAAAGCGUGGGGAUCAAACAGG